rnacentral:rRNA from 1 species
UACGGAGGGUGCGAGCGUUGUCCGGAAUCAUUGGGCGUAAAGGGCGCGUAGGUGGCCCGGUCAGUUCGUGGUGAAAGCGCGGGGCUCAACUCCGCGUCGGCCAUGAAUACUGCUGGGCUUGAGCACUGUAGAGGCAGGCGGAAUUCCGGGUGUAGCGGUGGAAUGCGUAGAGAUCGGAAGAACACCGGUGGCGAAGGCGGCCUGCUGGGCAGUAGCUGACACUGAGGCGCGACAGCGUGGGGAGCAAACAGG